GAGGGUAUAGCUCAAGAGGCAGAGCACAUGCAUAGCACCCACGAGGUCCUGGGUUCAAUCCCCAGCACCUCCU
rnacentral:tRNA from 1 species